AUUGGUUGAAACCGUCGUUCACUUACUUUAAAGACUUGCAACUUAUGGAGGAGACUGAGCUUUCUGAAGACAUCAUAGCAGAGUUUCAAAAAAUAUCUGUUGGAGAAGGAUCUGCAAAUGCAGCUGCUGCUGGUUGCUCAUCAUCACAACCACCUGACUGUGUAUGAUGAAUUUGGAUCUUUUGAUUUUUUGGCUUGGCAUAACAACUUUUUGUCAUAGUGUUGUUGCCUUAUGCAUAUAAUUUAAAGGUGGGAUAUGAAUGUUUUUUUGGACGACACCAACCUUGUUAUCACAUAAUGUUGUGACUUUUUGAGCAUAAGUAGCAGCAUAACUUUUGUGAUUAUGAGCAGCUUUGGAGGACUAUUUUGUAGCUGUUUUUACUAUUAUGGCUAUGGCUGAUUUGGAGAACAGUUUGUUGAGAUUUGAAUCAUUGGUACUGCCUCAGGUAUGGUCUGAUGUGGGAGUUUUUUCUGAGUGUUUUUAUCUGCUUAGUGGGUCUGUUUGUUGCUGGUAGCAGCGUGAGUAUUGUGUUGGUUUUGAGGCAAGUAUGUGUCUUUUUGUAACAAGGGGCCUUUGGCUUUUCUUUUGAUUUUCUCUUCUUUUGGUUGAAUACCGAUAUCAUCUAAUUUUGAUUAUGCAGAACCAGAAGAUUAAUUUGAGUAAAAUUGAGCAGCUUGUGAUUUUCAUUUGUUGAUAAUAUCUUUUGUUAAGCCUGCCAUUGCUCUCUAUUGAUGUGCAAAUUUGCUUUGAAUCUCAAAGUAUCAAGAUGCACUUUACUUUGGAUGAUAUGGUGCUCCAUUUGAAUUAACUUGAUAUUGAACAAUGCAUUAUAUAAUGCAUAAUGCUGCUACAGCUGAUACUAAAGACUUUUAUUUUCCAUCUGGAUGAUUGUACUAUUUAAAUCUUUACAAUGGGCUGCAAUGUUAUUUAUGCAUCUCCUAUCCUUCUUUAUAUGUAUUGUGUGUUGUAUUGAUAAUUUUAACUUGUUAGUUUUAA